GUUUCACCGCACACACACACACACAUACUAUCCUCAUUAUUUGCUUGCAGGUCUGUGUAUUAUGUUUUCCAAAUCCACCACUUCCUGUUUCCUGUGGGAGCCGAUGAGCCGAUCAUUGUGUUGCAAAAGAAAGCCGAAUUUUAACAGUAUAUCACUUAAUUGUGUACAUAUAUUUAUACUAAAACAUAUUCUCACACAGAAAUGUGGAUUACCGAAGCCCCAAUUUCACCAUUGAAUUUGGUACACCUGCACAAUAUAAUAAGAUUCAUUCAUUCAUGCUGGAGAUGUAGCUACACUAAUAGUAAUAUGUGGUAUGCGAUGAUGUAAUAUUGAUAAAGUAAUAUUUAAUUUAUUGGCAGGGAUAAAAUAACACAAAAGGUGUUGCAAACACACAAUGAGCACAUGUUGGAACUUUGUAAGAAGAGUGGCAUCUAGUGGGCAAAAAAUAAACAGCACGUAAUGUGUGAGAAGAGUGACAUCUAGUGGGCAAAAAGAUAAAUUCAGCAAGUAAUAUAUGAGAAGAGUGGCAUCUAGUGGGCAAUAAGAUAUAUGCAGCACGUAAUACACGUGUCAGUUGUACACUUGGCGCUCCCCUGUUUGCUUAACCGAGUAUGCAUGUUGAGGAUACGGUUGACGUUUACUAUGGUGUCAGGACAGGAGCCGGAGCUGAAGAAGGCACAUUUAGACACAAGGCACGUCGUCCUUUCUCGACCGUCAAGUGACCGCAACACACAACAACAAUACUUUCGGCCGUCAAAAUAACAGCACAUCCUGUCGGGGUACAAAAUAGCUUACAUGAACAUUAUCGAUAAUGUGUUUUCGCCUUUGGAACAUUAAAUCAGAUGGGUGAUUUGCUAUGCAUUGUAUAAAAAAUGAUAAUGCAAUAUACAAUAUUAAAAACUCGCAAUAGACUGCUGCCCCUUUAAAUGAGUUUUCCAUUUACUUCCGCAUGUGGCGUUUGGCCCCGCCCUCGGGACACAACGCGGCUUUUAGUGUAUCUUGUGUCACAUGACUUGGACGUUAAUUUUGACUGAACAUGUUCGCGGCUGCGACCAAAGUUGUCUUCCUCCUGGGAGUCUUGUCCUCCUGCCGGGGGCGACGGGGCGACUUCAUCGAUGAAGGGGUCGAGGAAGUCGCCCAGCAGAGCUCCAAGUUUGGUUCCUUGUGGCCGCUACCGCAGAAUGUGCAAAUCUCAGAAGUUUCAUUCAAGUUGGCCAGGGACACUUUCCAAAUAUUUGAUGCCAAACUGUCGUCCGCAGGGCCCAGUUGUAGUCUCCUUCAGAAUGCUUACAGGAGGUACUAUGACUACAUCUUUGGCGGCCUUAAGAAGACCUGGCCCAGCAAACACGAGUGGUCUGACCCCGCCGGGCUGAUGGGACUGCAGGUUUUGAUCACAGACCCUGAGCCUGGAUGCGAGCAAUACCCCAGUGUGACAGCAGACGAGUCCUAUCAGCUGUUUGUGGAUCAGCCCAUUGCUGUCCUUAAGGCGCCCAAGGUUUGGGGAGCCCUUCAUGGCCUGGAAACGUUUAGCCAGUUGGUGUAUGAAGAUGAAUUUGGUGCAAAAAAUGUCAAUAUGACAUCCAUCAGCGACUUCCCCAGGUUUGCGCAUCGAGGCGUCUUGUUGGACAGCUCUCGGCACUUCCUUCCUGUCAAAGUCAUUUUGGCCAACCUGGAAACCAUGGCAAUGAACAAGUUCAACGUCUUCCACUGGCACAUCGUCGAUGAUCCAUCCUUCCCGUACCUGAGCCGAACUUUCCCACAGCUCAGCCAGAAGGGAGCGUACCACCCGUACACUCACGUGUACACACCAGCCGACGUGAAGAUGAUCAUCGAGUUUGCUCGUCUCCGAGGCAUCCGGGUCAUCCCAGAGUUUGACACGCCGGGUCACACACAGUCUUGGGGCAAAGGCCAGUCGGACCUACUGACGCCCUGCUUCGCCGGGUCCAAACCGUCCGGCAGCUUCGGCCCGGUCAACCCCAUCCUCAACACCACGUACGAUUUCAUGAGCCGGCUCUUCCAGGAGAUCAGCAUCGUCUUCCCCGAUGCCUAUGUUCACCUGGGAGGCGACGAGGUGGACUUCACCUGCUGGAAGUCCAACCCUGACGUCCAGAGGUUCAUGGAGCAGCAAGGUUUCGGUCAAGACUACGGGAAGCUGGAAUCCUUUUAUAUUCAAAGGCUUUUGGACAUCGUGGCCUCCACCAAGAAGGGCUACAUGAUCUGGCAGGAGGUCUUCGACAAUGGCGUUAAGCUGAAAGCAGACACACUCAUCCAUGUGUGGAAAGGGACCCAGCAGCAAUACCAGAAUGAGAUGGCAAAAGUCACGUCAUCGGGGUACCAGGCCCUACUCUCCACCCCCUGGUACCUGAACCGUAUCGCCUACGGCCAGGACUGGCAGGGCCAUUACAAGGCCGACCCCCAGGACUUCCAGGGAACCGAUGAACAGAAGAAGCUUGUGAUCGGUGGAGAAGCCUGCUUGUGGGGGGAGUAUGUGGACGCCACCAACCUCACGCCCAGACUCUGGCCCCGCGCCAGCGCUGUAGCCGAGCGUCUGUGGAGCGCCAAGACCGUGACAGACAUCAACGAUGCCUACAGCAGACUGUCCUCGCACCGUUGUCGCAUGGUCGAGCGCGGCAUCCCCGCUGAGCCGCUGUUUUCCAGCUACUGCCCUUACGAGUAUAAGGGAAUCUGAGGACUGGUGGCGUGAAGAGGCGGAAGAGGGAAAUGCUUGAAAAUGAAGAAAUCAAAUCAAACCAGCCGUGCGUUUUAGGAGUACGUUCUGGUCCUGUGUGCUCAUGGCCUCGUAGGUGUCCAGUUCCAAGGAGAAGGUGGCCUUCCCCGAGGUCAGCGUUCGCAGGAUGGUGGAAUAGCCCUUGAACAAGCGGUUUCAACAACACAUUAGAUAAAUACUCUUCACACUUUAACGCUUUGGAUCUUUCACUCACCCGAGUUUCUGCCAAAGGCACGCUGGCCAGCAGCACCUUGUUGUCAUGACGACUCUGGAUAUCCCUGACCGUCCCUCGUCUCUGGGCAAGAUCGCCCAACACGGUGCCGAGAUAUUCCUCCUCCACUGUCACCUCCAAGGACAUGACAGGCUCCAUCAGCUGUCCUCCAGCGAGCCUCAGAGCCUGCAUGGAAGGACGGAUGAAUCAAGCACACACGCUGGAGUUG